AGGUGUCCCUGCCCAUGGCAGGGGAGUUGGAACUAGAUGAUCUUUAAGGUCCCUUCCAACCCAAACCAUUCUGUGAUUCUAUGAUAGGCAUGGCCAGCUGUGGGACAUAAGCGUUACGCUGAUCUUUCCAUCAGUGUUUCGCGCAUGCUAAACUGGCGAUUCUCUUUUUCCUUCAAAAUAGGCUGCCAGUUUUUUGAGAGUAGGUGUAUUAUGCUGUAGAGAUGUGGGAGGAUGGUCUAUCCCUUCUCUUUUUUCUGGAUGCCAGCAGUAGCCAUACCGUCUCCUGCGGCGGCGGUGAGGUCCUGUGUGGCCGGGAGGGCUCCCG